UUGGAGGGCAAGUCUGGUGCCAGCAGCCGCGGUAAUUCCAGCUCCAAUAGCGUAUAUUAAAGUUGUUGCAGUUAAAAAGCUCGUAGUUGAAUUUCGGGGUUAGUAGGUUGGUCAUGCCUCUGGUAUGCACUGGUCUCACUGAUUCCUCCUUCCUGAUGAGCCGUAAUGCCAUUAAUUUGGUGUUGCGGGGAAUUUGGACUGUUACUUUGAAAAAAUUAGAGUGUUUAAAGCAGACUAUCGUCUGAAUACAUUAGCAUGGAAUAAUGAAAUAGGACGGACUGAUUCUAUUUCGUUGGUUUCUAGGAUCACCGUAAUGAUUAAUAGGGAUAGUUGGGGGCAUUAGUAUUCAAUUGUCAGAGGUGAAAUUCUUGGAUUUAUUGAAGACUAACUACUGCGAAAGCAUUUGCCAAGGAUGUUUUCAUUAAUCAAGAACGAAAGUUAGGGGAUCGAAGACGAUCAGAUACCGUCGUAGUCUUAACCAUAAACUAUGCCGACUAGGGAUCGGACGAUGUUAAUUUUUUAAUGACUCGUUCGGCGCCUUACGGGAAAC
rnacentral:rRNA from 1 species